UACGUAGGGUGCAAGCGUUGUCCGGAAUUAUUGGGCGUAAAGAGCUCGUAGGCGGUUUGUCGCGUCUGCUGUGAAAACUCAGGGCUUAACCCUGAGCCUGCAGUGGGUACGGGCAGACUAGAGUGUGGUAGGGGAGAUCGGAAUUCCUGGUGUAGCGGUGGAAUGCGCAGAUAUCAGGAGGAACACCGGUGGCGAAGGCGCCACUCUGGGCCGAAACUGACGCUGAGGAGCGAAAGCGUGGGUAGCAAACAGG
rnacentral:rRNA from 1 species